UCUAAGGAAACCCUAGUUACGGGACGAAACAAGUUUUUAAAAAGUCUGUCUUGAUCGUCUUAACCGGGAUUGUUAAACUCUGUUAGCCAUGGUCAGCUCCGCGGUCCGGAAACCCGGGCAGAAAGUUUAAACAUCAGAGGAGCCCUUUUUAAUUCAUAUAUUUGGGUACAAAAAACAAGCUCAGAGUGCGGGAAGAGCCCAGAGAGCCGGUAAAAGCAGGAACAUGGCUACUGAUGAGAUCGAGAUGAGCGUAACUGAAGCUGUGCGCUCUCGCCUGUCCUUCUUCAGAAAACAGUCCGAUUCUUUGACCUUUGAAGGAGUUCGGCGACUCUUGGAAAAGGAUUUGGGCCUGGAGGCAUUUUCAUUGGAUUCACACAAAAAAUUGAUUAAGGCACUUCUACAGGAGAAUUUCUAUAGCUCAGAGGAGGACGAUGCUUCUGGAAAUGUGAAAGAAAAUGAAAAUGAAGCUGAGAAUUCAGAGUUGGAAAACAGCUCCAAAAGUCUAGAAUCUCUGGGACAAAAUUUGCCAUCUGGAAAACAUGGCAAAGGAAGAAAUGAAGACAAUAAAUUGUUGAAAGAAAAAAAGCAAACUGAAUCUGAUAUUGACAUACCUGAACCCAGAGAAAAAGCUCAAACAGAACAUGAUGAAGUUGAUGAUGAGAUAAAUGGUAAAAAUGAAUUAUCUCUGGAAGUGACUGAAACAGUAAUAAAGGAAGCAGUUUUGAAGAGAGCUUCCUAUCUAAGAGCUGAAAUUGAAUCUAUUAGUCUUGGAAGUUUUCGUCGACUUUUGGAACAAGAUCUUCGAUUAGAGACAAAAGCACUAGAUGUUCAUAAAACAUUGAUUUCAAAGCUUGUCGAUGAGUUACUUACUAGUCCUUCUAAUGAACCCGAUAAUGUCAAAGAGAUGAACAAAAAGAGCCAGAAGAAAAAGUUAUCUAAGGGAAAGAAAAUUGGUUCUGAAGAGGAUGAAGUCAAAUAUACUAGAUCUGACACAAUGGAGGAUUCACUGGAAUCUACAGAAAUUUCAAGAGAUGAUGGGCUGGAACUGAACAAAGAAACAUUGAAGGCCAGUAAAUCUAAAAAAAUCAGGAAGAAAGAUUUAGGCAUUGCGACUUUGAAGGGGAGAAAGAGAAAACUAGAUCCAGAAAACGAACACAAAAAGUCAGUGAAGAAACCAAAGAAAAAGAAAUCAGUUGAAGACACAGACACAGAGCCACUAAAAUCAGAGACCACAAGAAGGAAAGAAGAAGAAGACAGUGUGGAUGAAAUUGAAGAACCAGUAAAAAACAAGGCUUCUGAAGACAGUGACAGUGCUUCAUCUGAUAAUGAAGAGGAGAAGAGUAAAAUGAAGAAGACAAGCAAUGCAGUUGUGCAUGGCGAGCAAGUCCAGAAUUUGAAGAAGAUCAUAAGAUCCUGUGGAAUGACUGUUCCUCCUACAGUUUACAAGAAAGCAAAACAACAACCUGACAGCAAGCGAGAGGCAUACCUUUUACAGGAAUUGAUAGCAAUUUUGAAGAAGGAAGGCUUGUCUACAAAUCCUACAGACAAAGAGAUCAAGGCUGUAGUAAAACGCAAGGAGAAAGCAAAGGAUCUUGAAGGCAUUGAUAUGACAAAUAUCAUAUCUGAUUCUCGUCGUAGAAGAGCAACUUCCAAUUUCUUAAUUCCUCCUCCACAGUAUAAGGUUUCAAAUGAAGAUGAUGAGGAUAGCAGUGAUGAUGAAGAUGGUAAAAGCUCAGAAGAUGAUGAAACACUUAAUAGGACUGAAUAAAAAUUGGUUACAACAAGAAGAGUGUGUAAGACAUCGUCCAGAUUAAGUUUAAUUGAAGGAACAUCAUGGCAUAAGAGGAUCAUGGCUGGAAUAGUGGAAUAAUAUGUGUGUAAAAGUGCUGGUGGAUGAAUAUGAACAAUGAGCCAGUAAUAGAAGAAGAGGAAAGUGAUUGAAUUGGAACAACAAUUUUGUAAAUGGGCAGUGUCUAAUUCUGUCUUUGAUAGUAUCAGAGGAGAGACAUUAUUCUGUACUAUACCAGUCAUGACUGAACAGAAAGGAAAAGUACCUUAUUCUUGUCAAUAUGCUUUCUCAAAAUAGUACAAUAGCAGGUAGCUCUGGAGUCUUUCACAUUUGCAUGUUCGAGCAGGCAAUUGCAACAUUCUAAUCCUGUUGCAAUAUUAAUGAUUGUUCAAUAUGAAGCUCAAUUUGUAGGAAGGGACUUUUGUAUGGGGUUGGUCCAUUGAAUGACAUCCAUUUUUGUUAGGAGACUAACCUUAUCUUUCACUUGAUGCUUAAUUGGAAAAUGACCCAAUCGCAAGUUUUAGAAACAUUGGAGAUGUUAUUUGUGAUGGUAUGCACUCUAAGAGAAGUUCUAAUUAAAGCACUUGGUAAUUGCAGAGUAUCUUUACUUCA